ACCAAAGGGCGACCCCCUUGCUCUCUUCACUCUGCCCGCGACCCUGCCGCUUCAAACUCGCCGGAACUCGCCCAAACCCGGCAAGUUCACUUACAUUGUCCCGUCAUGGUCCCCCCUCCUCUCCUUCGCUUCUUCCACGUCACCAAACCCUAACAUACUUUGGCAACAAAAUGAUUUCAUCCAGAUUUCCACGCGGUAUUCAUUCCUCUUGGAGCAAAUCCGGAUCUAUUAGGUAAAAGAUUAUUAAAAUGGGGACCGUUAGAUAAGGUAAUUAUGAUCCAAAGCCCUCCAUUUUUCUGAUUUUUUAUUUGGAAAUGGAUUUCAGAUUUCGUGGGGAGGAAGCAUAGAAGGUUCUAUCUCUAUAUAUAUAGGAGGAUUUUCAGACAGAGUAAUUGAGAGAAAAAGGAGGUUAAAAAAUUAGGGUUAUAAUAGGGAGUUUCUUCUUUUCUUCUCAAUUUGGAUCCAUUUUUAGUUGAUUACAAAUUCCAUAAAGACAAAAAUACAAAGAAAAAAAAAACAGUUAUAGUUCUGUUACUCCUUUCCACUUCGAUUUUCGAUUUCAAUACGGAGUUUGUCUGAGGUUGCCGUGGACUCGAGUUGUUCGAGAUUUUUAGUGCUUGUAAAUCGAGGUUCAUUGUGGUCCCAUUUGUGCCGAGCAAAUUCAGUCCAGGCUUGUUCGAAUUUGGUUGCUUUUUGCUUCAAUUCUCGUUGUCGAACUUCAGCUGUAUUUGGCAUUCAAGCAAAUUAAUUAAAGUUCUUGACGUUUCAGGUCCCUUUCCUCCCUCUUCUAUUUUUAUGUGAAAAUUGGUUUUCUUGAGUUAAUUCAGAAUCAGUCAGAGUGAUCUUCUCUUCGUGUGUUCAGUUUGCUUUAAAUGUUUGAAGGUUAAAAUUUGCAUAUGUCUAAGAGAUCGAUUGGAGUUAUGUUCUUAUACGUGCUUAUUCAAGUUGCUUAAUAUGUGUUAAUUUGAGUCGUGGUUAAUUUAGUUUGGACUAUGUCUCACUGUAGUAUACCAUGUGUAUUCAGUGUGUCGACCAGAAGUUAGUAUAUUACUGUUUUUACUUAUGAUUAAGUAUGUCGAAGGCCUUCAGCCAUUAGAGUAGCGUGUUCUUUGACCUCGUCUCUUUUUAAGGUUUCAAGUUCUAAGUUAGGAUUUUCAUACUCAUUGAAACAUGUUUACAAAUAUUACCAUGCCUUCCAGUGAUCCAUAUCUGAAACAGAAUCACACCUUCUCACAUGUGUUGAACUAGGAGCCAUUCGUUGACAAGAGUGUUGUUCAAUGGUGCUUUGUAUUUAACAGACAUAGAAGGCAAAUGUGCAGAUAUGGCCAUCAAUUAUGAUGCAGUUAAGAGGUACUAUGUAUGAUUUUCUUGCUUACCUUCAGUUUUAUUUUGUACUUGGCAUAUUCAAAGUUGAAAUGACGAAGGAAUUUUGUUCAGCUACCUAAACACUUUCAUCCUUUGCUACCCUUUCUGAGCCUUAUUUAUUUUCUUUCAUACCCCACUUUUGGAAUCAACAACAGAAGUAAAGAAUAAAGAUGAUGAUGAAUGAGUGAAAAUAAGAAAAAUGAAAAAACAAGAAAAACAAAAAGAAAAGAAAAAAAACAACAAAAAAGAAAAAAAAACUAUAAGAAAAAAAAGAAAACAAAGAAAAGAAAAGAAAAAAAACAACAAAUAAGAAAAAAAACAACAAAAAAGAAAAAAAAAUUAUAAGAAAAAAAAAAGAAAACAAGCAACUUUGUCGUUUGAACUACGUUCGACCUGAUUCCUUUUAAGGAUACGUAGGCAGCCUUAAAGUUCGGUCCCAUCACAAUAAAAAUUAAAAUUCCCCAGACCCAAAGAAACUGGGGCAGAAGUUUUGGUUUUGAAGAGAUCUAAUUCCAAAAGUUGUAAUUUUAACCCCUUUUCAUCUUAUAUUAUUUUGAGCUUUCAUGCUACCCUUUCUUUCUAACCCCGUCCAAAAGCCUAAAUUAUGGUCCAAAGAAAGACCUUCCGAUCAAUCUUUGAAGAUGCCGGGUCAAGCAAGAUAGAUGUAUGAUUUGCAUCAUAGGUAAUACUUUGUUCAUGGGCGCUAGAGAGAAAAUUUAAAAUAAGAGAAUUUUAUUGGUGAAAACCCUCGUAGAAGAGAGUCUUAUUGGUGAAAACCCUCUCAGGCACCAUAAGGUGAUGGUGAGAUGAGAGAUGAACAAAUGAUAGAGGCUUGUCAGUGAAAACCCUUUUAGGGCACUACAAGUCGAAUGAGGCUCAUAACUUUACAGAGAAAUUGGAUCAAUGAAAGUCCGGUUUUGAAGUAUGAAGACAUGGCAUGAACUGAAAAUAUGAUUGGUUGGACGAAUUAGGUUGAUCAGUCUGAAAUGCAUGGCAUGAUCAUUGGGGCUGGCCACUUUCCUCAGAUAAGUCCUCUCUUUCUCAUUCUUCUCCACAUAAUCAUUUGUGUUCAAAAUUUUCAUUUGUUCCUUUUGUUAAAAAAUCAUUUCAUUUUACUCCUUAGGUCUAUAUUUAUGAGUUUCUUCCUAGUUAGUGCUUAUUAAACAAGCAGGAACGGAUUUCAAAGCCUACUACCAGCUUCUAAAUUGCACAAAGCGGAUUCAUGCCAGGCACAUCAAAAUUGGCAUGAUUCAGAAUGAGCAAUAUGGUGAUAAUUGAGGUUCAGGCAAUCAAGUGAAUCUUGAAUUUUGAGGAAAUACAAGGAUUCAACAACUUUCUAAAUAAAAAUUCAAUGCAACAAGUGAGUGUGAGGGACUGAGGUCAUGCAGAGGUUUCGUGGUCUAGUGUCAGUCAAAGGUCAAACCAAAAAUACAAUGCAACAAGCAGUGUGAGGGACUCAAGCCAUGCAGAGGUUUCGUGGUCUAGUUUCAGUCAAAGAUCAAACAACUCCUUGCUAGCCCGAAGCAGCUAAUCAAAAUGAAGUAUGGUAGUGGUGGAAGCAGACGCUCAACAAUGAGGCCACAAACUAACCACCACGUUUUCAAACUAACAAAUUUUAUUUGUCCGAAACAGGGGCAAGAACAUUUGUUAAUCCAUAGGGACCCCCAUGAAGAGAGCAUGGCUCAGGGGCAAGAAAUUCUGUUAAGAAUCCUUCAAGAUGAGAGCGUGUCUCAGGUAAGUUCACUCUCAGUUCUCAGGACCCUCCUGGAUAAUGGGAUUUAGUUUUUAAAAUUCUCAGGACCCUCCUAGAUAAGGGGGCAAGAAAUUCUGUUCAGAAUCCUCCAAGAUGAGAGCGUGUCUCAGGUAAGUUCACUCUCAGUUCUCAAGACCCUCCUGGAUAAUGGGAUUUAGUUUUUAAAAUUCUCAGGACCCUCCUAGAUAAUGAGAUUUAACAAAGUUUUCAGGACUCUCCUGGAUAAUGGGAUUUCAUUUCAUAAUUCUCAGGACCCUCCUGGAUAAUGGGACUUAGUAUUUAAAAUUCUCAGGACCCUCCUGGAUAAUGAGAUUUAGGUUUUUUAAAAAUAAAAAAAAUUCUCAGGACCCGCAUGGAUAAUGGGAUUUAGUUUUUAAAAUUCUCAUGACCCUUCUGGAUUAUGGGAUUUAGUUAUUAAAAAUUCUCAGGACCCUCCUAGAUAAUGAGAUUUAGUUUUUAAAAUUUUCAGGACCCUCCUGGAUAAUGGGAUUCAGGAUUUUAAAAUUCUCAGGAUCCUCUUGGAUAAUGGGUUUAGCUUUUAAAUUCUUAUAGUUCUGUAGGUGAUAUGGUCCGAUUAACACUUAGAAAUAUGCCCAGAUCCCAAACCGGGGAAGAAAAAGUUUCUUUUGUUUUGUCUGUUUUGUUGCAGUAUCAGGCGUCCACCUGGAUAACGAGGGAAUACAUUUCAAGUUUUUGCAAUCAGGCGCCCACCUGGAUAACGAGGGAAUUCAUUUUAAGUCUUUGCAAUCAGGCGCUCACCUGGAUAACGAGGGAAUACAUUUCAAGUCUUUACAAUCAGGCGCCCACCUGGAUAAUGAGGGAAUACUUUUCAAGUCUUUGCAAUCAAGAGCCCACCUGGAGAACGAGGGAAUACUGUCCAAGUUUUUGCAAUAAGGGGGAAUAUAUUUUAUGUAAUUGCAAUCAGGCGCCCACCUGGACAGCGAGGGAAUACAUUCCAAGUUUUUGCAAUCAAGCGCCCACCUGGAGAACGAGGGAAUGCAAUCCAAGUUUUUACAAUUAGUCGCCCACCUGGAUAACGAGGGAAUACAUUUCAAGUCUUUGCAAUCAGGUGCCCACCUGGAGAACGAGGGAAUACAGUCCAAGUUUUUGCAAUCAGGCGCCCACCUAGAGAACGAGAAAAUACAUUUCAAGUCUUUGCAAUCAGACGCCCACCUGGAGAACGAGGGAAUAUAUUUCAAGUAAUUGCAAUCAGGUGCCCACCUGGAGAACGAGGUAAUUAAUUUCAGAGUUACUUCAACUCACAAAUUCAAGAAGCAUCAGGAGCCUGCCUGAAGAGCAGGGUCCAUUUUUCAGUUGCAUAUUGAAGUUCAAGUAGAGAUUCAAGGAUGUUUCAAGACAAGAAAAUAGAUAGGAUCUUGUAUUUUUCUUUUAAUUUUGCUGUAAUUUUUCCAUUUUAUUUUUAUGUAAUGGCAGGAACCGCGAUCUGGAACCUCGAUGGCACUCGACUCGACUCUCCAUGUUGGUACUCCAUCUAGAUUUAAGGAUGUUUCAAGACAAGAAGAUAGAUAGGAUCUUGUAUUUUUCUUUAAAUUUUGCUGUAAUUUUUCCCUUUUAUUUUUGAUGUAAUGGCAGGAACCACAAACUGGAACCUCGACGACACUCGAAUCUACUUUCCACCUCGGUACUCCGUCGCACUUCUCACUUCGAGCUACACGUGGCCCGGUUCCUUUAUAGCCAAGGAUAUGUUGGCAGCUCCGAGACCAGGGCUCGACCACAUUUUCUUUCUCUACGUUUUGGUCUCUUUAAAUAAGGGUUGGGUCAAAAAUCAUGUCUUGUUGUUCUUUGUCUGAAAACACCUUAUGUUUCCCAUCAAAGAGGGGCAGCUAUAGACAUGUAAUUUUUGAUUUACGCAUUAGAAUUACUUUUAAUAGUCAUAGCAUUUUUGGGAUAUUUAUUUGGGCUUAUUCC
rnacentral:lncRNA from 1 species